CACUAAUACCUUAUAAUGACUUCGGUCCAAAGAUUUAUCGCUUAAGGAUUAGCCCGCGUCUGAUUAGAUUGUUGGUGAGGUAAUGGCUCACCAAGUCUACGAUCAGUAGGGGGUCUGAGAGGAUGAUCCCCCACACUGGGACUAAGACACGGCCCAGACUCCUACGGGAGGCAGCAGUGAGGAAUAUUGCACAAUGGAGGAAACUCUGAUGCAGCCAUGCCGCGUGAGUGAAGAAGGCCUUAGGGUUGUAAAGCUCUUUCAAUAGUGAAGAUAAUGACGGUAGCUAUAGAAGAAGCCCCGGCUAAAUUCGUGCCAGCAGCCGCGGUAAUACGAAUGGGGCAAGCGUUGUUCGGAAUCACUGGGCUUAAAGCGUGCGCAGGCGGAUAUGAAAGUCAGAAGUGAAAUCCCGGGGCUCAACCCCGGAACUGCUUUUGAAACUCCAUAUCUAGAAUCCGGUAGAGGUCAGGGGAAUUCCUAGUGUAGAGGUGAAAUUCGCAGAUAUUAGGAGGAACACCAGUGGCGUAGGCGCCUGACUGGACCGGUAUUGACGCUCAUGUACGGAAGCGUGGGGAGCAAACAGGAUUAGAUACCCUGGUAGUCCACGCCGUAAACGAUGUAUGCUAGUUGUUGGGAUCUUAAGGUCUCAGUGACGCAGAGAAAUCACUAAGCAUACCGCCUGGGGAGUACGGCCGCAAGGU
rnacentral:rRNA from 1 species